GCAUUGGUGGUAUAAUGGUGAACAUAGCUGCUUCCCAAACAGUUGAUCCGGGUUCGAUUCCCGGCCAAUGCA